UUAAACCUUUUUCCUGCGACUUUCUGUCCGUUUACCAAUACUUAUUCCUUGUUAAGUUUUUUCAUAUCCAUUUACGAAUACUUAUAACGUGAUAAUUAUUUUUUCCGGAUGCUUUUUAUCCUAUUUUCAUAUCAAACAACCAUGUUACCCGUAGAACGGAGUUAAGUACAAAUUUAGGAAUUUAGUACUUAAAAUUUUCAACAACAAAAUUUUACAUUUUCAUUUACCUGGAUUUUUUUCUACGCUUCGAAGCCGCCACCCUGUAUCAAACUUAUCCAACACCUCGCAUGGCGUAUUCACGAUGUGGAGGGAUUGACAAUAUACAAUCAAAGUUAGCAAUAUACAGCAAGUUGCCAGCAAGAUGAAAAGAACAAUGCAGUUCAAAAGUCAAAAUGUGGAUAAGCUGCGGUACAAGGUCCUACUUUUGCAGAUUUUCAUAUUUUGCAUGAAUGAAUUUGAAGUUUAUAUUAUGGAGGGCAGAGAAAGAAAAGAAACACUUCAGUUUUCCUGCUUCUGAAGGAUAAAUGUAAAACAUCUUGUUUGAAGGAUUGAAAUUCAUCACUGAGAAUAAAAGGAGAAAACACAGAAACAAGACCAAAAUAAAUUCAAAGACAAAAGUCAGAUCAGUUAUUAUUUUCAUCACUCAGCCAAUGAAUUGAAGUUCUAUUAAAUAUCUAAAGAUAUUAAAACCACAAUAAUGACAAUGUUCUGUGCUGAAUGGCAAAAAAGUGGACUAUACAUAACGACCACACAAUGCUGGAUGAUGAGAAACUAUUUAUUUUUUGGGUGGAGGGAUAUCCUGAAAAAAAAAAUAGAUUUAUGUAAAAAGCUACUAGUAUGUUAAGCCUAUUAAUAGAGUUUUCAUU